AGCUCCUUCUGGACAGAUCGAUCUGUUCCCCCGACCAACCAUGGAACCGCACUGGAUUUAGGUUUGUAUUUGAUCCAGAUUCGUUUUCUUUCAUGCUUGAUUUCUCAAUCUGCGCUCCUUGUCACACAAUUGGAUUUCUAUGGAGUGCUGCGAUGUGGCUUUCGGAUUCAGAACUCUUGCUGCUCUGCAUUCCCUAAAGUGCCAGAAAUCAGAACCUUGUGCAGCGGCGGUGGGGUGGUGUCACCAUUGCUGUUCCUAUGAGUUUAGGGCCUUAUGGAAUUCCGAGUCGCCAUCUCCUGCGGUCCUGCCACUGCCAUGGCAUGCCUUCCAGGUCAAAAAGCACUACGAUAGUGCAACUUACAUGGAGUACUGCCUUGCGACAAUUGUGGGCAUCUAUAUUCGUUCAACAUUUGUUUCUAUGAUCUCUGCUCUCCCUCUUCCACAACAUCACAAUUGUAUGGUUACAAUACAUGGCAUUGGCAUGAUUGCCUGUUGCAAGUAGAAUACUUCAGGUUCCUCAUUUAGCACGCACUUAUGACAAGGUGAUACCACCUUUUGUCAAGACAUGGAUACUUCUCACUACUAACUGAUUUACAUAAAUCAUGGUGUACCUCUUACCGCUGCAACAUGUAACAUGUACCACUUGAAGGGCUGAGCUUGUAUUUUGUUA